UCCAUCAUUUCAGGCCUAAAAUUUCCUCCUGGCCUGCAUUUUCCUCCAGGCCAGCGUGUGGCCACAGGUACUUCCAACCCGGCACGGCCCAGCAUGUCUUGGAGCGUCCAGGCCCUGCCCCUUGGUGGACGCCAGCUCCAGGCCUACGGCUUCGUUGGAAUCUGUGGCAUACACAGGGCUUCAGGUUUGCCACACCCAGUUUUGGUGGCCUGCAGCUGGAUCCUGGGAUCACUCAUGGGAGCUGCUCCUUCAGAAAGCCCAGCCCCACUGCACCCCAGCUUCCUGCUUCUCCCCAUUCCUGGGAUGGGCUCUCUCCAUGGACAGGAGGACAUAGAGGUAAGCAACGAGGUUCUCUAGGACCUGGGGACAAAGGUCUGCUUCUCAAACCCAAAGAGCUAGCUUGAGUUUACCUGUACUACUCCUUGAACAGCAUCGCUUGUUUUGUUUUAUCCCUGGAUUCCAGGAACCCAAUGGA
rnacentral:lncRNA from 1 species